rnacentral:lncRNA from 1 species
GAUUUGAACUCUUAACCUGACGAAAACGUCAGGCAUAAAUGGAGGGAGUAUAUAAAGACCCGUGCGGAUGUGUGUUUAGUUCCAUAAUCAGUUAUUUGUCGAGAAGAUCUUAGGCACUUAUACAGGAUUAAAGAACCCAAAUAAUACCUUUCGGUUAGCCAUUUUGGGCGAAAUCCUAGGUUGUCACAAUAACAAAGUUGGGAGCACAUCGGUAGUAACAUAGUGAAAGAAUUGUGCAUGCCAAACACUUGUUCGAGCUACAGUAUAUAGAAGAUUACAAGUUAUGAACUCAUGGUCUGUUAUAUUCGACUUGGUUGAGGCGAAUUUUGUAUUAACUAUUUGGAAAUAUGAAUCUAUGCCGCAAAAUAUUUUUCCCAAUUUCAAAUGAAGCUAUUGGAGAUGGACAUUUCUAGGACACAUAUGUUUAUCUGAGACUGAAGAGUUACCCAUGUUUCUUCUCACGUGCAUUCAUGCACCCAAUGCCAGUGCGAGUGAUUAGGGGCAUGGCCUCCUUUUGACACUUGAAAGAUGCUUCAUUAAAAUGAUAGCAAGAGAUAUGCUUUCGUAUUUAAAGCUCGGGCCUACCAUCUAUACUAAUCCAUUCAUACUACUUCCUGUCACGAUCCGGACCCGGAUCCGUGACACGGCCGCCCUAUUGCCGACUACUGCUCACAAUAGCACGAAGCCUCAUAUACGAAUAACAAGGUAGUCAAGUUUCAUAUAUAUAACAUUACCAGUAUAACUUACUGGGCGAUCAAAAGUACAGAGCUUCUAUAAUAUUUUAUGUAUACAAAAGUAUAUUUAUCCAAAAAUGAAACCCUGAUGCAGAAAGUGUCUCUUGCCGCUAUCACUAAUGGUAGUCUGAAAAAAAUAUGAAUAAAUUGGUAUGAGUUACACGGUUUAGUAAGUAAUCAUGCAUAAUUUUACUGGAUCAAGUGUAAUACUAAACAUUUUUAAGUAGGAUUUGAGAAGCUAACAUGUGCAUCAAAUAACAACUUUUCAUAAUAAAAUAUUCAUACUAAGCCGGUAAAUCGGUGUAUACAGCAACAUAUCUUUUCAUGAGAAUGCAUCGUAAAACUUUAUGCCGGUAAUUUAUGCUUAAAAUCUACAUUCUUAAAUUUUUAGCUACAACCGUACUUAACUCUCACGAUAAGGAUCGUUAUGCCUAGAUAUUCUUACCCAUUGGCGGGGCCCAUAUGCUCAGUUAUUCUUACCCACUGGCGGAGGCCAUCCAUAGCAUCUCAGAGUCCAUAAGUAGUACUUUUCACAAAUCAUACUCAUAAGUAGAGUGAAAACUCAUUGAUAGCAUCUUAAACAACUAAUCUUAUGUUCAUGCCACAAAUACUAUUUUUAAUGUAAUCAUAACAUUAUAAUUCAUGUAGUGCAUAAUUUAGAAUGCAUAAAUAACACUUUAUAAUUUCUAUAAACAAAGCAUUUUCAUGAUCUAUAAAACAAUAAGAUUAGGGCAGAUUACCUACACUAAUUUGUUCAAAAUUCCUUCAAAUUGGUUAAUCGGCUCUUUGAUCACCUAUCAUGUCAAAAAGGACACUUAUUUAGUAAGUAUCCCCUAAUUCUAAAUUAAUCCGUCAUUAAGACCCUACCCAGGGGUUUUGCUUGAAUUCGAGUCAUAUGGGAAACUUACAUUGAAAUCCUCUUAAAAUUUCUUGCUUAUUGGACUUUUAGGACGUAGGAUUUUUACUUAUUUUGCAAGCCUUUAGCCUAAUUUCAUGUAAUUUGAGUCACAAGGCUUCCGAGCUCAAUUUUAGGCUAGUCCCAGCUCAAUUUAACCCACUAUUGGAAUGCUUGAGCUUGGUUUAAAAUCAAAUCGAGCCCACAUAGACCAAUUUGGUCUUAAAUUACAGGACUGGGCCUGGUUCAGAAUUAGGUCUAGUCCUUUUUGCGUCAAAUUGGUCUUCUGAUUAGGUCAUCGGGCUCAGUCCAAGGUCUAAUUGGGUCUAAGUUUGGUCUAGGGUCAAAUAUGGGCCCAAAAGAGUAUUGGGCCCAGUUGAUUUUUGAGCCCAGGUAUUACAUUCUCCCCCCCUAAAUAAAUUUCGUCCUUGAAAUUAAUAUACCUCAGUCCUCGAAAAGCUGUGGAUAACUUCUGCGCAUCUCAUCUUCAAGUUUCUAGGUAGCCUCCCUUUUUGAGUGAUUGGUCCACUGGACUUUAACAUAAGGGAUGGUGUGCCUCCGAAAAAUCUGUUCUUUUCUAUCAACGAUAUGCAGAGAAACCUCUUCAUAAGUCAAAUCUUUAUUUAUUUGCGAAGGUUCGUAUCGUAUCACACAACAUGGCUAGGAUCUGAGAUGUAUCUCCGUGGAAGGGAGACAUGAAAGACAUCAUGUAUGCUUGACAACUUUGGGGGUAAGGCUAAUUUGUAAGCAACCUAGCCCACUCCGGCAAGAACCCCAAAUGGAUCAAUGUAACGAAGACUCAAAUUGCCGUGUCGUCCAAAUCUGGUGACACCUUUUGAGGAAGAGACUUUUAAAAAGACAAAGUUUUCCUCCAAAAAUUCUAAUUCCCUUCUUCCUCUGUUAGCCCAACUUUUUUGCCUAUCCUAGGCAACCUAAAGCCUUUGCUUGAUCAAAAGCACUUUGUCUUUGGCAUUCUGAACCAACUCAGGACCCAGUAACUUCUGUUCCCCGACAUCGUCUCAAUGCAGAGGUGAUCGGUAUUUUCUCCUUUAUAAAGCUUCAUAUGGGGCCAUCUGGAUGCUGGAGUAGUAACUGUUAUUGCAAGCAAACUCCACCAGAAAUAUGUGAUCAUCCCAGCACCCACCUAAGUCAACAGUGCAGGCUCUCAACAUGUCCUCCAGGGUCUGGAUCGUCCGCUUUGACUGACCAUCAGUCUGAGGGAGAUAGGAUGUACUGAGCCUCAAUUCAAUAUGCAUGGCUCUCUGAAAGCUUUCCUAGAAUCUAGAUACAAAUCGAGGGUCGCGAUCAAAUAUGAUGCUCAUUGGUACUCCAUGCAGGCGUACUAUUUUGUCGAUAUAUUUAUGAGCUAGUAUGUCCAAUGAAGUACCAACUCUGAAGGAUAGAAAGUGAGUUGACUUUGUAAGGCGAUCUAUAAUUACCCACACAACAUCAUUCUUUCUCACUAUUCUCGGGAGCCCUGUAACGAAGUCCAUAGUGAUGUGCUCCCACUUUCAUUCUGAAAUUUCUAGUGGUUCAAGUAACCCAGCGGGCCUUUGAUAUUCUUCUUUCACCUGCUGACAAGUCAAGCAUCGAGCCACAUAUUCAGCUAUCUCUCUUCAUACCAUUCCACCAGAAAUGUUCUCGUAAAUCUUUGUACAUUUUGGUACUGAUAGGGUGAACAAAAAAACGAGAUUGAUGAGCUCCUUCUAAGAUUUCUUUCUUGAGGUCACCAUCAGUUGGAACACAUAGCCGGCUACCAAAUGUCAGGGUACCAUUAGGGUGGAUCUGGAGUUUGGGUCACAACCCUUUCUCCACUUCAUCUCUAAGCUGACGUAUAUGUGCAUCUAACUGCUGAGCAACCUUUAUUCUGUCAAUCAGCGUUGGCCGCACUCUCAAAGUGGCCAGUAGACUCCUUGUAGUUUGUGUAACCACUUCAACCCGCAUUCUGUCAAGAUCCUUUUGAAUCUGUGGUUGAGUGGUGAGUAAUGCAGUGGAGCCCACUGCUGACUUUCUGCUCAGAGCAACAACCACAACAUUGGCCUUCCCUGGAUGGUACUUAAUGCUAAGGUCAUAGUCUCUUCAAUAGUUCCAGCCAUCUUCUCUGUCUCAUAUUUAACUUCUUUUGUGUGAAUAUGUAUUUCAGGCUCUUAUGAUCUGUAUAUACUUUACAGUGCUCACCAUAUAAAUAGUGUCUCCAAAUCUUUAGGACGAAGACCACUGCCGCUAGCUCCAAGUCAUGAGUCGGAUAAUUUUGCUCAUAAGGUUUCAGUUGUUUGGAGGAAUAGGCCACCACCUUGCCAUUUUGCAUGAGUACAUAGCCUAGCCCAUUCUUGGAAACAUUACUGUAAAUAGUGAAUUCUCGACUAGUGGAUGCCAAAGUUAGAAUUGGAGCAGAUACCAACCUCUAUUUCAGCUCCUGGAAUCUUUUCUCGCAAUUGUCGUACCAAAUAAACAGCUCGUUUCUUAGUUAAACGAGCCAAAAGGGUGGCGAUCCAGGAGAAUCCUUCCACAACCCGUCGGUAAUAAUCGGCCAGUCCCAAGAAGCUUCUAAUCUCUUUGAUGUUGGUCGGACGAGACCAAUCCACCAUCGCUUCUAUCUUCUUGGAAUCCACUGCCACUCCAUCCUUAGAGAUUACAUGCCCGAGAAAUGCCACAUUGCUUAGCCAGAAUUCACACUUGUUCAGCUUGGCAUACAACCUUUUCUCUCGGAGAGUCUGUAGUACUACUCUCAAGUGGUCUACAUGCUCCUCCUUGCUCCUUGAGUAGAUCAGUAUAUCAUCAAUGAAGACGAUCACAAAUUGAUCCAAAUUCUGCUUAAAGACUCUGUUCAUUAAGUCCAUGAAAGCAGCUGGAGCGUUGGUCAGUCGAAAAGGCAUAACCAAAAAUUCAUAGUGCCCGUACCUGGUUCGAAAUGCGGUCUUUGGUACGUCAUCAGCUUUUAUCUUCAAUUGGUGAUAUCCAGACCGCAAGUCUACCUUAGAGAAAACUUGAGCACCUUGCAGCUGAUCGAAUAGGUCGUUUAUCCAGGGCAGACGAUAUUUGUUCUUUAUUGUUACCUUGNNNNNNNNNNNNNNNNNAACACACAGCCACAUACUCCCAUCUUUUUUUUCACAAAUAGGACAGGAGGUCCCCACAUAGACACACUAGGCUGGAUAAACUUCUUGUCCAGGAGUUCCUGUAGCUGGAUCUUUAAAUCCCUCAGCUCGACAAAGGCCAUUCGAUAAGGAGCUUUGGAAAUAUGUCCUACUCUUGGCGCGAGAUCGAUGGUAAAUUCGACCUCUCGAUCAUGGGGUAAUUCCGGUAAUUCAUCUGAAAAAACAUCCGGAUAUUUCCUGACUACUAGUAUAUCUUCCAGUUUGGUCUCCUCUCGGGUAUCCGUUACACAUGCUAAAUAAGCCUUACACCCUUUCCUUAAUGCCUUUACGGCAUUCAAGGCAAAAAUUAAAUGUAAUGCUGAUUGACAUUGCAAGGGUGCUUCACCUUGGAAGAAGAACUCUGGUUCUUCAGGUAUCCGAAAUACCACUCUUUUACUGUAGAGUUAAUUUGAGAGUGGUACUGAGACAUCCAAUCCAUUUCCAAAAUAAUGUCAAAGUCUUGCAUGUCAAGUUGUAUAAGAUUUAUCACUAGCUCUCUUACCCCUAUACGAAUUAUACAAUUCUUGUAUAUAGUGUCAACAAUUAUUAUUUUCUGAAGGGGUGUAGCAACAUGCAGUGGUUCUUCUAGUUUCUCAGGUGUGCAGUGUAAUUGUCUUAAAAAACUAACUGAAACAAAAAAAAUGUGUAAAGCCAGAAUCAAACAAAAUAGAAGCAUCAAUCGAGUUGACUGGUAGUGUACCUGUCACCACCCGGUCGCUAGCAUUGGCAUCCUGAUGGGUCAGUGCAAAGACUCGAGGAUUGUUCCUUGGCCUCUGGUCCCUAGGUACAAGAGGUCGGAGCUCAUUCCUCCUCUUAUUCAGGCAGUCGCGUGCCAAGUGUCCAGUCUGCCCGCAACUAAAACAUGCCCCUACUCUCCUUAGACAAGGCCCACUAUGGGAUUUGCCACAGCAGGCACAGACCCUAAACUGCUUCUUCUGAAUCAGCGUGCUCCUGAAAUUUCUUGGCUUGCCACUCUGUCUCCCAGCUGGUCUAGGUCUCUUCAGGUCAGCCCUUUCCCUAUCAUAUCUUCUCAAUUCAGCCUCCACUUUCAGGGCUCUGUCCAAAAUAUCCCGGUAACUGGUGAAUAAAUGUGAGGAUGUCCGGGACCUGAUCCCAUAUCUCAGCCCUUGUUCGAACUGGUUAGCCUUACUCCUCUCGUCCUCCAUGAACUGAGGGCAGAAUCGGCCUAGCUCAUUGAACUUGUUGGCAUAAUCCAGAACAGUCAUAUGUUCGGACUGAGUCAGCGAUAAAAACUCAUUCUGCUUUGUCUGCUUGACUGAGUCCGGAAAGUACCGAGUAUAAAAUAACCCUUUAAACUCUCUCCAGGUCAUUCUAUUGACCUCAUAUGCUAUCUCCAUGGAGGACCACCAAAACUCCGCAUUUCCCCUCAACAUAGGAAUAGCUAGUCUAACUUUUACUUCUUCGGGAAAUUCGAGUGCCUGAUACAUCUUCUCCAUUUCCCAAAUCCAAGUCUCAGCGGUCAAGGGGUCUGAUCCACCGUCAAACAUCGGUGGGUUCAGCCUACGAAACCUCUCGUAAUAGGAAACCAUCGGCUGUACAGGUUGGGCAGUCAACUGUAUCUGUUGCUGUUGCUGAAGCAACUGUGCCAUUAACUGGUACACUCCUGUCAGGUCUGCCUGGGUUGCUACGGAGUGUGGAGUAGUUUAUGUAGUUAAUUGGCUGCUAGGGUCUGGAGAAGGCGCUCUCAUUUCUCUUUCAUCCUCCAUAUUGUUUGCGACUACCUAGCAGUCAAGAAUUUAAAAUGAGAUUAACAUAAAUUAUUUUCUUCAAGUAAUAUAUUUAUAACAAUCUUAACUACCCAUUAUCCAAAAUUUUUAAGGUUAUAAUCUUGUUUAACCUAGAGCUCUGAUACCACCAAAUAUCACGACUUAAACCCGAAUCUGUGACACGGUCGCGCUAUUAUCGACUACUGCUCACAAUAGCACAAAGCCUCAUAUACGAAUAACCGGGUAGUCAAGUUUCAUAUGUAUAACAUUACUAGUAUAACUUACUGGGUAAUCAAAAGUACAAAAUUUCUAUAACAUUUUAUGUAGACAAAAGUAUAUUUAUCCAAAAAUAAAACUCUGGUGCAAAAAGUGUCUCUUGCCACUAUCACUGACGGUGGCCUGAAAGAAAAUAUGAAUAAAUUGGUAUGAGCUACACGGCUCAGUAAGUAUUCAUAUAUAAUCUUACCGGAUCAAGUGUAAUACUAAACAUUUUUAAGUAAGAUUUGAGAAGCUAACAUGUGCAUUAAAUAACAACUUUUCAUAAUAAAAUAUUCAUACUGAGCCCGUAAAUCGGUGUAUGUACUAACAUAUCUUUUCAUGAGAAUGCAUCGUAAAACUAUAUGCCGGUAAUUCAGGUUUAAAAUCUACACUCUUAUAUUUUUAGCUACGGCCGUACUUAACUCCUACGACAAGAAUCGUUAUGCCUAGUUAUUCUUACCCACUGGCGGGGGCCAUCCAUAGCAUCUGAGAGCCCAUAACUAGUACUUUUUUACAAAUCAUACUCAUAAGUAGAGUGAAAACUCAUUAAUAGCAUCUUAAACAACUAAUCUUAUGUUCAUGCCAUAAAUACUAUUUUUAAUAUAAUCAUAACAUUAUAAUUCAUGAAGUGCAUAAUUUAGAAUGCAUAAAUAACACUUUAUAAUUUCUAUAAGCAAAGCAUUUUCAUGAUCUAUAAAACAAUAAGAUUAGGGCAGAUUACUUACACUUUAAUUCGUUCAAAAUUCCUUUAAGCUGGUUAAUCGGCUCUUUGAUCACCUAUCAUGUCAAAAAGGACACUUAUUUAGUAAGUAUCUCCAUAUUCCUAUAAUUAAUCAGUCAUUAAGACCCUACCUAGGGGUUUUGCUUGAAUUCGAGUCGUAUGGGGAACUUAGAUUGAAAUCCUCUUAAAAUUUCUUGCUUAUUGGACUUUUAGGACGUAGGGUUUUUGUUUAUUUUGCAAGCCCUUAGCCUAAUUUCAUAUAAUUUGAGUCACAAGGCUUCCGAGCUCAAUUUUAGGCUAGUCCCAGCUCAACUUAACCCGCUAUUAGAAUGCUUAAGCUUGGUUUAAAAUCAAAUCGAGCCCACAUAGACCAAUUUGGUCUCUAAUUACAGGAUUGGGCUUGGUUCAGGAUUAGGUCUAGUCCUUUCUAGAUCAAAUUGGUCUUCUGAUUGGGUCAUUGGGCUCAGUCUAAGGUCUAAUUGGGUCUAACUUUGGUUCAGGGUUAAUUUAAAUUAUUUGGGCUUGAAUCAGGGCCGACCCGCGACUAAUUUGGUCUCUAAACAGUUGAUUUGGGCUUGGAUUAGGGCCGUAAACAGUUGAUUUGGGCUUGGAUUAGGGCCGGCCCGAGUCCACUAAAUCCAAUUUGAUCCAUUAUUUUAAAAUAUUUUGGGCUCGGCCCAAAGCCAGCUCGAGUCCAAUCAGUGCACAGUCUAAUUUAAUUGGGUUCAGACCCAAUUAAACGUUUACUCAACCUAAUUAAAUUUUAUUUAGCUUAAUUAAUUUAAAUCCCAAUCUGAUUAAACUCAAUUGAAUUUAGAUCAAAUCCAACCCGAACUAAUCCAAAUCUAUUUAAUUUCUUUAAAUCGGAUUGGAUUGGUUCGAAUUUGAAUGCAACCCGUUAACCCAAACCCAACCCGUUAACCCACUCCCUACUCCUCCUCCUCCCCCUCCAGAAGCCUCUCCCGAACCCUCUUUCCACCAAGGUGGUAGCCUAGUGGUACUGGGCAGCAAUUCUAACCACAAGGUCCUAAGUUCGAAUCGUUGCGGCGACGAUUAAAUUGUGGACCGGAGCUCACUACUUUGGCCACUGCUUGGACUUGUGGUGUAGGACCGCUCUUGAACCGCUAGUAGCCGGGGUGGUGCCGGGUGUGACGUACUCACACGUGGAACUCGAGCCAGAGCUCAGAGGAGUAGCUGAGCCGGGCCUAUGGGUGGGGAGGGUAUGAGUAAAACCGGUCGGGGUGCCCAACACACGGCCAUUUCUGCCCGCAUCGAACAUUCUCCUGGCAGGGCGGGGGCCCAGUGGGGCUGCUACGCGGGGGUGGGCUUGUCCCUUCCUCCCCCUACCCUUUCUUUAGCGNNNNNNNNNNNNNNNNNNNNNNNNNNNNNNNNNNNNNNNNNNNNNNNNNNNNNNNNNNNNNNNNNNNNNNNNNNNNNNNNNNNNNNNNNNNNNNNNNNNNNNNNNNNNNNNNNNNNNNNNNNNNNNNNNNNNNNNNNNNNNNNNNNNNNNNNNNNNNNNNNNNNNNNNNNNNNNNNNNNNUGAGUCCUUCUUCUUCUUUCUUGUUUUUUUUUUCUUUCUUCGAACUGGAGGAGGCCGAUCCUGGGGGUCAGGCCACGGCCGGCGGCGUCCGCGGCUGACUCCUGCGGCCGUGUCCGUGGCCGUGCUCGCGGCCGGCCUGCGGCCUAUACCUGCGGCCGAGCCGAGGCCGGCGGCGUUCACGCCGUCGGCGACGUCCCCGGCUGCGCAUGGGUAACCCCCUCCCCCUUCUUCAGUUCUUCCCCUCCCUCUUCUUCUUCUUUUCUUUUCUUUCUUUCUUUCUUUCUUUCUUUCUUUCUUUCUUUCUUUUAAUUCACAUACUAAACAAAUUGAGAGGAGGUAGCCGGAAGGGAUUUACCUUGAUUCCGAAAGAGGUUGCAGUGUCCCGUGCUCCGGUGCCUCCACUCCAACACCUCCUUUGCCGGUUCACAGGUUCCUAAGGUCCUGAGGGAGAACCAGAUACGGUAGAGAGGUUUAAUUAGGCAUUCUUAAGCGGUGUAACCCUUUAGCUAGGGCGAGGUGUCACCCUCAGCUUCCCCCACGUGAAGGGCGCCCGCCCUCCUCUGAUUCCCAUCUGGCCCUAGUCACCUCCAUCCCGAGAACAUGACGUGG